rnacentral:rRNA from 1 species
UACGUAGGGGCGAAGCGUUAUCCGGAUUUACUGGGUGUAAAGGGAGCGCAGACGGAAGGCCAAGUCAGGUGUGAAAGGCAUGGGCUCAACCCAUGGACUGCACUUGAAACUGGUCAUCUUGAGUAUCGGAGGGGCAGGCGGAAUUCCUGGUGUAGCGGUGAAAUGCGUAGAUAUCAGGAAGAACACCGGUGGCGAAGGCGGCCUGCUGGACGAUAACUGACGUUGAGGCUCGAAAGCGUGGGGAGCAAACAGGAUUAGAUACCCGU